AUGAUGGGUGAGACACUUUCAGCAUGGGCUAAAGCAUCUUUGGCAAAAGCUGAGAGUUACAGGGAUAGGAGUGUGGAGGCUACUUCACGUGUAACAUCAGACUGUUCUCUUACUAAGUGUGUGGCGGCGCUGAAUGAGAUGGAAGACAUUGCACAUGAUGUAUAUGGAAAAGCUUUGGAAAAGUUUAUGAAUCUUGAUUGGAGAGAAGUGUUCAUCGUCAUGUCUCUUGAGAGGAAACGUGGAUGGAAUUUCUCUUUCAUAGUAUGA